rnacentral:piRNA from 1 species
UGUGAUUAAAGUUGCUGGGUCAAGUUC